AAGUCUCGGCCCUGCUACAGAGUAGAAUAAAUUGAUCCCUUUUCUGUAAGGUCUGCUGAGAACAGAGCCUGUCCUCUUGGUUUUGCAUACAACAGUGGACUUGUGUUAGAGAGAGAGAGAGAGAGAGAGAGAGAGAGAGAGAGAGCGAGCGCUGAUGGUGUGUGUUCUCUGAGGGUGUUUGACAGAACAGAGGACGUGGAUCAAGAGCACAGGAGACGAGGGAAGGACGUGAGGAAAGCACCCUUUAAGGCCGUUUUCUUUUUUUCUUUUUUUUUUAUAAUUUCAUCAAACCUGAGCAGUUCUUUAUUUUUUUCUUCAACCUGACAAACAUUGCAUAUUUUUUUCUCCAAAGCACAAACAA